CUAGGAUAAAAUAACGUAGUUAUUUCUCCUUCCAGAAGUUGAGAAUCAGUAUUAUAAAGUAUACGAUUUUUGCGUAAUUGUUGAACUAUACGUCUGUCUGCUGCUUGCUCGUUUCAAAAAUUUCUAAAGUGUGUACAGAAGAUCUAUGGUGAUCCUACAAUUAAUUUUCAACGAACUUUUUUUUUUUUCCAAAAUAAACGAUACGAUGAGGAGACUUGUCAAUGAGGAGGUGGUCGUGUUGUACAAUAGAGACAGGGUUCUGUAAGGCAGAAGUUCUGAAAUUUGACAAUAAAUAAAUAGCGACCAAGAACAUUUUCUUUUAGAAAUCCAAGUUUCUUCUACUGCUCUACAGGAGCAAUGAUUUAUUUCAGGAACCUGAGGUAAGUUCGAAGAAUACAGAUGUUGUUGAUAAAAAGAAAUUACCUAUUGUAAAAUUGCAAUGAAAACUGCAAGUACAAAGGAAGCAGCUGUAUAUUUUUUUAUUAUUUGAAAUAUUUAAAUAUGAAUGCUGAAAAAGGAGAAAAAUGUGCAAAAAAUAAGUAUCAUUUUUAAGAGUAUCCAUUUUGCAUUUAACUGCAUCAUAAGCACUCCAUCAUAUUUGAAAUUGCAUGUUAUACAUGGGUGUCAGGCAAUGCAAUGCUUCAAAAUGAUCCAAGAUUCACUUUAUGCGGGUGAUAUAUGUAUUUGCUCGCAUUCCACGUGUCAGUUCAAUUAAGUCGCAUAUACAUCAAGAUCCUCGAUGCAUAACGAGAAUUCUAGGAAAAAAGAACGGAACAGUCGAGAAGAGCACUUUGAUAUUCAAAAAAGAACACGUAACCAUCAAAGAUUUUCUUUUGAAAUAUAUAAAUUUAUAGAUGGAUGAAUAAUAAUUUGAUUAAAUUAUAUGAAGUGUAUCCAUAAUGUAUAUCUAUAAAUGAACAUUUCAAGUAACAACAUCCUGAUAAUUACAAUCAAUAAAAGAAUCCAUUAAAAAUAUAAUAAAUUGUCGCAUCUUUUAAAGAAGAUUUAAAGUUUUAGAUCAAAUUGCGUGAAAUCCUAGAUAGAUCCUGUGUCCACGAUAACAUUUAACUUUCAAUAGCAAAAUUACAGGCAAUUACAAUCGAUAAAAGAAUUCAUUAAAAAAUUCAAUGAGUUGGUCACAUUUUUUAAAAGUCGUUCAUUACCUGGCCAUAACGUGAAAUAUUUCGAGGACAUCCAGUUCAUUAAAAACGAGUUCUCGACUCGUGAUAUUAAUUCUUCACGAUGAUAAUUGAAGUAAGAAAGAAAACGACAAUUCACUUGGAACAACUUAAUACAAUGAGUUCAUUAAUGAGGAUCCAUACAUCACGCAUUAUGCAAGAUAUAUGAAUGUUAGCCACAGGCAUCGCUAAUUAACAGUUGAAUCAAAAUGAUCAUUCGAUUUGUAAUAGCAUCACAAUUAUUCACAUCGAUCGACACACUGCUGAUCACGUUAUACCCAUUGUCAUUGCAUUUGACAGACGCGUCAAUCAAUUUAUAACACAGGCACGGAAGCUAUACGUCCCGUGCAUCCUGAAACAUGGCGAUCAACGGAAGCCCUCGAAAGUGAAAAAUCCCUUGAAAAAUAGAACGGCUGCCAGGAUGAUCCGUUGUAUAUUGGAGAUAGUUUGGCGAAAAUUGAAAUUUUUCAUCGCGCCGCUUGAACCAAUGUGCAGGCAGCAAAGCAGAGCAAAUUUUGAGAAAG
rnacentral:lncRNA from 1 species